CAUGAAGAGGGUAGGAAAAGUCAAUUUUGGUUGCUAUUUGGUAACUAGAAAGUAGUAUUUUAGUUUUGAAUAUUUAAUGGAGAGUUAAUAUUAUUGGAAAAGUAUGCUCUAAUUUUGGUGUUUUAGUUUUGAAUAUUUAAUGGAGAGUUACUAAGUUGUAGCAAGAAGUUGAAAAUUGGAUCAUAUUGUUUGGAGUAGAAAUACAUGUGUUUUAGUGUUUUUUUUUUCAUGUAAACAGAAAAUCAUGGAUUCCCUGUACUUUUUAGCUUAAGAAAUUUGCUUGUCAUGUCUCAUUUUCUGUUUCUUGUGAACCUUUGUUAUUGACACCGAAUUAGAUGCAUUUUUUACUGACUCAGGUCAAAAGAACACUAGAAUUAAGGCACAUUAUUUAAGUUUAGACAAUGUUACAAAGAACUUGAGAAAGUUCUAUGCACAAGCUUACUUGGGACAAUCACCAAAACAAGCUCCAAAGUAUUGGCUUCAUUUUCAAGUUUCUGUACUAUCGCUUGGUUGGAAUACUUACUUUGUCUCAAAGGCAUAUAGUACAGAAAAUGGGAUCAAUGGUAGAUGAAUUGGAUCCAUGUUGAACAAUUGGAUCCAUGUUGAACAAUCAUUGGUGAACACAGGAAAGGAAAGGGCAAAAGUCAUCCUUCUUUUUACAUGGGC